AUUGAACGCUGGCGGCAGGCCUAACACAUGCAAGUCGAGCGGAGCGGCAGACGGGUGAGUAAGGCCUAGGAAUCGGACUGUGAGUGGGGGAUGACGACCGGUAACGGGCGCUGAUACCGCAUACUAUCGGAUGCGCCUGGGGCGGAUUGGGUAGUUGGUGGGGUAAGGGCCAACAAAGGCGAAGAUCCGUAACUGGUCCGGGAGGAUGAGCAGCCACACUGGAACUGAGACACGGUCCAGACUCCUACGGGAGGCAGCAGUGGGGAAUAUUGGACAAUGGGCGAAAGCCUGAUGCAGCCAUGCCGCGUGUGUGAAGAAGGUCUUCGGAUUGUAAAGUACUUUAAGUUGGGAGGCGUUACCAACAGAAUAAGCACCGGCUAACUCCGUGCCAGCAGCCGCGGUAAUAC
rnacentral:rRNA from 1 species